UACGGAGGGUGCGAGCGUUAAUCGGAAUUACUGGGCGUAAAGCGCACGCAGGCGGUUUGUUAAGCUAGAUGUGAAAGCCCCGGGCUCAACCUGGGAUGGUCAUUUAGAACUGGCAGACUAGAGUCUUGGAGAGGGGAGNGGAAUUCCAGGUGUAGCGGUGAAAUGCGUAGAUAUCUGGAGGAACAUCAGUGGCGAAGGCGACUCCCUGGCCAAAGACUGACGCUCAUGUGCGAAAGUGUGGGUAGCGAACAGG
rnacentral:rRNA from 1 species